GAUGAACGCUGGCGGCGUGCCUAAUACAUGCAAGUCGAGCGAACAGAUGAGGAGCUUGCUCCUCUGACGUUAGCGGCGGACGGGUGAGUAACACGUGGAUAACCUACCUAUAAGACUGGGAUAACUUCGGGAAACCGGAGCUAAUACCGGAUAAUAUAUUGAACCGCAUGGUUCAAUAGUGAAAGACGGUUUUGCUGUCACUUAUAGAUGGAUCCGCGCCGCAUUAGCUAGUUGGUAAGGUAACGGCUUACCAAGGCAACGAUGCGUAGCCGACCUGAGAGGGUGAUCGGCCACACUGGAACUGAGACACGGUCCAGACUCCUACGGGAGGCAGCAGUAGGGAAUCUUCCGCAAUGGGCGAAAGCCUGACGGAGCAACGCCGCGUGAGUGAUGAAGGUCUUCGGAUCGUAAAACUCGGUUAUUAGGGAAGAACAAAUGUGUAAGUAACUAGGCACGUCUUGACGGUACCUAAUCAGAAAGCCACGGCUAACUACGUGC
rnacentral:rRNA from 1 species